AAUAGCCUGACGGCUGAACCAGCAACUUGGAAGAAUGUAUAGCAAUUGCUAGUUGUUUCUAUAGCAGUAUCGAUUUGAUCGAAUAAAAUUCUGGUUAAAGUAAUGAUAAUGACAUUGUUUAUCCAUGAGUCUUGACCAAGUUACGUGCCAGCAGUCGCGGUAAUACGUAGAAGACUAGUGUUAUUCAUCUUUAAUGGGUUUAAAGGGUACCUAGACGGCAUACUAAGCCUUCUGGAACUGGUAUGCUAGAGUUACUUGUAAGGAAGUUUUAAAGUACUAGAGGAGUAGAGAUAAAAUUCAAUCAUACCUUUUUUCGUGAGAAAACUUCGGCACAGGUAUAGGUGAAAACAUCUUCUUAUGGGAUAGCUUUUUAUAAUGAACAGGAUUAGAUACCCUGGUAGUCAAAGCAGUAAACGCUGAGUGUCAUAGAUUAGUUUAUUCUAUAAAUGAAAGUGUAAGCACUCCACCUCAAGAGUAAUUUGGCAACAUUGGAACUGAAAUCAUUAGACCGUAUCUGAAACCAGUAGUGAAGUAUGUUAUUUAAUUUGAUAAUCCGCAAAAAACCUUACCAUGAAUACUUACAAGCGUUGCACGGCUGUCUAAAGUUAAUGUCGUAAGAUUAUGGUUAGUUCCGUUAAAUUAACGUAAACCCUUGCCCUAUUUUUAAAUAAGGUAGUUCUCCGCUAUAAUGGAUAAGAUAACAGGGAACAAGACAAGUCAUCAUGGCCUUAAUGUUGUGAGCCUUUACAAAAGGAUGUGAAAUUGUGAAAUUGAGCUAAUCCCACAAAACUGGCUAUAUGUUUUUAUG
rnacentral:rRNA from 1 species